ensembl:miRNA Mir2137 microRNA 2137
GUAGUAUACCUCCUUCCUGCUGCCUUGUUGGCUUGCCGGCGGGAGCCCCAGGGAGUAGAGCAUUGC